rnacentral:tRNA from 1 species
GGUUAUGGCUCAGUGGUAGAGCGCUUGCCUAGCAUGUGUGAGGCCCUGGGCUCCAUCCCAGAAACCA